AACGAACGCUGGCGGCGCGCCUAAUACAUGCAAGUCGAGCGAGAAGGCGUAGCAAUACGUUUGUAAAGCGGCGAACGGGUGAGGAAUACAUGGGUAACCUACCCUCGAGUGGGGAAUAACUAGCCGAAAGGUUAGCUAAUACCGCGUACGCUCCUUGGACUUCGGUUCAGGGAGGAAAGCGAUACCGUGGGUAUCGCGCUCUUGGAUGGGCUCAUGUCCUAUCAGCUUGUUGGUGAGGAACGGCUCACCAAGGCUUCGACGGGUAGCUGGUCUGAGAGGACGAUCAGCCACACUGGCACUGCGACACGGGCCAGACUCCUACGGGAGGCAGCAGUAAGGAAUAUUGCGCAAUGGGCGAAAGCCUGACGCAGCGACGCCGCGUGGGGGAUGAAGGUC
rnacentral:rRNA from 1 species